CACAGAAAAAAAAAUUCAUAUUACUAGAACACAUUGGUAUUGAAGGAACUAGAUACUGUUCCGAAAUAUCACUUACUCGAACCGUCCUGACCGCGUAGCUCAGUUGGAAGAGCAUUGGGCUAGUAUUCCAAAGGUCUUAGGUUCGAAUCCCACCGUGGCCGGGCAUAUUUUUCAAGCUCGCCCGGUGUGGAUAUGCACUCAGAAUAACAUCGCAAACGUAUUAUUCACCUGAGUACACAACACCAACAC